rnacentral:misc_RNA from 1 species
AUUAAAAAAAAAAAAAGGUUUACUUAUUUCAAGUCUUAAAAUCAUGCGUGUUUUCAUAAUGUCUAGAAUAGUAGUUAGAAAAAGAGAAGUGAAGGUGCUGAAAUUGACCUUAUUCACCUUAAUGGGUAAGGUAAAACAUAAUCCAUAAAGUAGAGUCAAUUGUUCUCAUAAUAUCGAUAAUUCAACCAUAGAGCAAUUGUAAGACAGGAAGGAUGAAGACGCUAGGAAAGGAAAAGCAAGAAGCCCAUAUUCGCCUAUGAAGCAGCAAAAAUGCCAAUAUAUUUCUCUUGUCGGAAAUAAGGCAAUAUGGUCAGUAUAGAAGACUAAAUGCUGCUCGAAAGUACUAGGAACAAAAUUCAAUUUGCAAAUGGACUUGGUAAUCACUAAUCAACUGUAUCACAAUUUACUUGCUUCGGUAAUCACUAAUAAGCAAAGAUGCAAAUGUUCAUGAACAUUGAAAGUAAAAAAAGAUGCGAAGGUUCUAGUCUAAAAUUAACCUUGUUUUUGGAAGACUGUUGCACUUCUAAAGUUUUGAAGGCUGCAGAAUGCAAAUGAUAUAGAAUAGGUUGAGGCCUUUGGGAAAAACAAAAGGAAAAUUUGCUGGCUUUAUCUUUAUAAGAUAAGGUAAAGGGGCAAAAAAGGUUAUAAUUUGUGGCUUAAAAAAUAGCAUCAUGAUGCAGUAGAAGAAAUAGAUCACAGAGACGUAACUGAAGCAUAAUAUUGUCAAGAAAAAAAAAGUAGAUUUAUGAGUACCUUCAAGAUUUGACGAUUAUAAGA